rnacentral:rRNA from 1 species
CCCGGCGAAAUUGAGAUGGCUGUGAAGACGCGGCCUGGUUGUCCUAGGACAAAAAGACCCCGGGAGCUUUACUGUAGCUUCGCAUUUGAAAGCUUUUUUCAACUGUCGAGAAUAGGAGGGACCCCGCCGCAAGGCGGGGGUCAGUGAAAUACCUCUCUUUGAAAUGGGUAAUCAUUAUUCUUAUCCCGCAUAAAAAUCCGGGAAGAAAACAGUGCGUGGUGGGCAGUUUAACUGGGGAGGUUGACUCCUAAAUUGCAACGGAGUUGUACAAAGGUUGGCUUAACGCGGAUGGAAAUCGCGUUGUAAGUGCAUAGGCAUAAGCCAGCUUGACUGUGAGACUCACAAGUCGAGCAGGUACGAAAGUAGGUCUAAGUGAUCCUGCGUUCCUUAUUGGUCGGGACGCAGCUUAACGGAUAAAAGCUACCCCGGGGAUACAAUUUACUGUGUCCGGGUCUUAUGGUAACAUAAGGCCAGGCAUACGGCUAAUAACGGUGGAGCCCUCUUGCUUUGGUUUUGGUCUUUUCCAUAAUCGAGGGAGGCAAAGGGUAAUACCGUGGGAAGUCUUCAGUUAUCGGUUCUCGGUUUUCAGUGUUCGGAAUCUGGUCUAUCAGUUUGCAGUUUAUCAGACUGACAAACAGACAACCGGUAAACGAAUAUCUGACAACCGACAACAGAAAACAGAUAACCGUCGACCCCGUAUCGACUGAUGUUCCAUUCAUGGAACUGAGAUAGAAGUUGUUUCUUGUUACAUUAACAAGAAAAUUUAUGACUUUUAUCACACGCCGUACUCCCGAUUUUAUCGGGAUGAAGAUAUAGUCAGUGCAGCAAGAAAUUGCUGAUUUGUCAUUCCGAUUUAAUCGGAAUAACAUGAACAGGCUGAUCGCCUCCAAGCGUCCAUAGCGACGAGGCGGUUUGGCACCUCGAUGUCGGCUCAUCUUAGCGCGGGGGUGAAGAAGCUCCCAAGCGUCGGGCUGUUCGCCCGUUAAAAAGGUACGCGAGCUGGGUUCAGAACGUCGUAAGACAGUAGACCUAUGGUUAAUAGACAAUUACCAUAAAAGAGCUGUCUCUCUUCAGCGUUUUGUAACUAAAGAGGAAAAUUGAAGAGCCCCGAUUUUAUCGGGGAUAAAUCUUGCUAUAUGCUGGAAACUCCGAGUAUUCUAAGCUACUUGACAAGCACAGUAAAUAGAGAUAAUCUAUCUCUAUGUCAAGUAAAAAAGCUUUAGAUGCGGACAAUCAGCAGGCAAUUGAGAAUAAAGUUUCAAACGAAUAUCUGAGUGGUUUUGUAGACGGUGAAGGGUGUUUUUAUGUAGGAUUUGGGAAACGAGAAGAUCUCCCGCUUAAAUGGCAAAUAAUAACAGAAUUCCACUUAAGUCAAAAUCCUGGAGGGAAGAACGUUCUUGAAGAAUUUUCUAGAAGAUUAGGUUGUGGUUAUUUAAAACCUAACCAUCCAGGAAGUUCAAAAGAUAAAUCUUGGGUCUUAAUUGUUAAAGACAGAAAGAAUUUAAAAGAGAAAUUAAUUCCCUUUUUUAAGAAAUACCCAUUACAUACAUCGAAAAGAGUAGAGUUAUCGAUUUUUGAGUUCGUGCUUUCACUGAUAGAAAAGAAAGAGCAUUUAACUCGAGAAGGAUUUCAACAAAUAGUUGAAAAAGUAUUUCAAAACCCACGAGUUACCAAUAAAAGAUAUUCAAAAGAAGUUUUAUUGUCUUAAGAGCCUCAGAGACUAUACGCAAGAUCCCAUCCCAUUAGAUAAUUUAUCUAACGGGACGGGAAAGAUAUAGUCCGAACUGCAUAGCGAUAUGCAGAGUCUACUAGAAAUAGUAGACCGUGUUCGCCUUAGGCGGACUAGUAACAUUAUUGUCGGUCUCUAUCCAGGACAACCGAUUUGAGAUUUGAAGGGAGCUGUCCCUAGUACGAGAGGACUGGGAUGGGGGAAUCCCUGGUGUGCCGGUUGUGUGAAAACACGCAGCGCCGGAUAGCUAGAUUCCCAUGGGAUAACCGCUGAAAGCAUCUAAGUGGGAAGCCCACCCUAAGAUAAGAUCUCUUUGGCCCCUCCGAAACCAGGAGGUUGAUAGGUAGCAGGUGUAAGACCGGUAACGGUUUCAGCUUAGCUAUACUAAUAGGCC